ACUUCACUAAGGGCAAAUCAUGAGAACUUCGAGCCCCUUCCACUUCCUAAAGGUACUACAAGAGAGCUGGAGAGGGACUUUGGACAAGGGCCUGGAGUGACAGGAUAAGGGAGACUGGCUUCCCACUGCCAGCGGAGAGGUUACAGCCGUUGGCUAGUCAGAAACCUUAGCAUACAAGAUGACACAGCUGAACAGCGUAAAAAACGGGAACCGAAACCAAACCCCAGUGAAGCACUACACCCAGACAGCUCGUAGCAGCAUCAGGGGCAGCACAUGGAAAUGGUGACGUUGAUGCCGAGGUUUCCGUUGUCAGCAAAAAGGUGCGCGGUGGCUGUAUCAAAAACGAGGCAGUUGCUGUUGCGGAUGGCCACGUGCACGCCGUCGUGGAUGGAGCAGGGAGACGCCUCCCAGGUCAGCCGGUGGCAGCUGCUGUGCAGCUCCAGUCUGUACUGGAAGUUCUCUGCCUGCUUACGGGUGCCAAUGAGCAGCACGGUGGCAAAAAACUGCUGGUGACCUUCGCACUUCUCCUGCUUCUUCAGCACCAGCAUGAAGUGGUGACCAAAGCACGACUGCAUCAUCACCCAGUCCACUGCCCCUGGCAGGUUAAUGUCCGUGGCAAGGAAAAUGAUGUCUUCUCCCUGAAGGGUGGUAAUGCUUUUGUGGGCAUGCAUGAGGUGGGACAUCACAGCUUCCAAGGAUCCCUCCCAGUCACAAGAGGUCCCAGGGCACGGGCAGGAGUAGGGACGGUACUCACAGAUGGCUUCAUGUUUUGGCUUUUCUGUGUGGUGGAGUGUCAGGGAGCAGCCUGUUGUGGCAUACUGGAAAGAGACCAAACACAAGCCGUCAGCAAAGGCACCAGCACUAGUGUGCGCUGCUCCCACCCGUCAGCUGGAAACACAGGUGAUCCACCAGAGCUCUCGUGCUCACUGCACAUUUUACAUUACUUGUAUGGAGCCCUGGAUUCAAGCUGAGCUUUACUUAGUUUUUGUUUCCACUGAAAAUGGAUUCUUCUUGUCUUUUGUGGUUGUUUUUUCCUAAAGCAAGCACUUAGAUAAAAUGGGCUGUAUGGCUGA